rnacentral:SRP_RNA from 1 species
GCCUGGUUUGGUAACACAUGCUUGUAAUCCUUAUGAUCAGGGAGGCUGAGGCUGGUGGAUCUCUUAAGCUUGGGAAUUUUGAGGUGCAGUGAGUUAAUCUGAGUGAGUAUCGGCACUAAGUUCAGCACCAAUAUGGGAAGCUCCCAGGAGCAGAGCUACCAGCCUAAAGCCCAGGUCAGAAAUGAAGCUGAUCAAAAUUCCCUGCCUAUCAACAGUGGGACUGGGCUCGUGAGUAGCCACUGAAUUUCUAGCCUGGGUGAGAGAGGGAUAUCCAAUCUUA